CAGGGCUAGAGUAGAGGCUAGAGGGACGGCGGCUGAGAAGGAUCGGCGAGGGGUGCAUGCUUGAGCAAGCCACGGCGGCGGCGGCAGGCUCCCCUCUGUGGCGGCGGCGCAGAGGUCCCGUCCUGCCGAACUUAGGGAUAGUGGCCCUAGCGGGGGCGGCUUGAGGCCCGGUACCGCUCUAGGUCGUCCGGCACCGCCGCUAGUCGUGGCCCUAUCCUGGUCCUCCGGCGGCCGCAGAGGGACUAGGCACUGGGGCUACGGUACCUCGACGAGCAGUUCCAAGCUGCGCGCCAACGACGACCUCGCCGACGCGUUGUUCUCCGACUAGAAGCACCCCCUGAGGACUUGGUCUUGGUCACCCUCAGCUGCCACACGGACCACAGCAGCCGCUAGGGCAGCGCGCUGGUUUUCAGGGACCGGUUCAAGCACCCCGGGUUGCCGAGAGAGUUGCACAAGUGCCGUCGCCUCAUGUUGCGCUGCCACCUCAAGAUGACCCGCGGCAAGGACCAGUCGAGGUUGAGCCUGCUGGGGGUCCGCGUGUCGCACCACCUGGCGCAGUAGCGGACCGACAGGUAGCGGUUCGUGUGGGCCGUGACCGCGCGGCGGGUGAAGGAGUAGAAGUUGUGGAUGUAGACCACCGAGUUGUUGAAGCUCUACUUUCACAACUUCUUAGGAGCCCGCAACGGCCUGUUCAUGUGCGACCACCUAGCCGGCCACCGCAUGUUCCUCCACGAGUUCUGCACCCGUUUAACCCACCUGGCGCCGCCUCCUCUGCUCUCUUCCGGUGGCAUCUUCUGGCGUCCGCCUCCUCUCCUCUGCGCCCACUCCAUUCUCCUCAGUUUAGGGGUAGGGCGGGGAGGGGUGUGCGGCGGCUGGGUGGGGAAAGGCCACACGGUCCCCUUUGUUGUCGUUCUACCACCACGCCCAGAAGCCCAUACCCAGGGACUAGACCUUGGAGCCGAAGCUAAAGCUGCUCUUCUAGGACCCUAAGUAGUUCCCGGCGUUCGCUUGCAAAUUAGAGCCGUGGAUCUCAGCGCGCCGCUGGAGUGGCAGGAGGAGAAGGUGUAGCAGGAGCCGACGUUCAAGUAGCGGAGAGUUGCUGUGGCCGUUUCGGUUCGAGUUGCCGGAGAGUCAAGUCUCGUUGCAGGUCCGUUCGGCAAGCAGGACAAAGGAGAGAAGUAGUGUCAACGAGAAGGCACUCUUACCACGAUACUACUACUAACGGAUACACGAAACCACACCCAAGUAGCCCACCUCCUCGUCUUCUUCGAUCUGCACGGGAGGCUACUCCACAACCAGUUACGGGGACAGUCGUCGCCGGCGUAGACACAAGAACACAGGCUCCUCCUGCUCCUCCGAAGUAAGCGCCUGGCUUUCGUGGCACCCUUCACACAUUUUUUGAAGGUGAUAUAUACGAGACGAGUGUUUGAACUAUACCAACUCGUUAAAAUGAAGACAACAAAGACUACUUUACACACCGAGUAGUCUCGAUAAGGUGUUAAAACAGGGGUGAACAUGGAAAAACGUGAAAUAUAGACAUCGAAGAAAGUUAAAAAAUUCUGUAACAAAAAGCAAAAAAUUCAGAAGUGCACACGUUUUAAUGAAGACACCACUCGGCUGUAGACCAAUCGAACUGCUCAUGAAGGACUGCCGACUACAGGACCUCUUGAUACCUGAAUACAUCUUCUUUUUUUGAUCUCAUAGAAGCCCGAUAUAGGGACAAACUAGAUAUUUACAAGCCGUUUUAGUGAAAAGAAUAGUUUUGUACACCUGUAAACGAAUAUUCUAGUGUCAAAAUCAUGAGAGGAACUCCCACUAAAUAACGAGAAACGUAACUUCAAGUUUCAUUACCGUAAAAUAGAGAUGUAACGAUCGUUUCACUCCACGGUCUCUAUUUACUUUGAGGUACGGUCACCACGACGGAACUAAUAUUAUGUAGGUCUUGUCUGUGUAUUUGAGGAGACAAGAUUAUCGUGAAAUAAGAAUACUUUAGACCAAAACUCGUAAAAUAAUGCCUCCCGUCGUACCAAACAAGUUCCUAGUCUACAAUGAGCACGAAGACUUACGGUACAAAGUCUCGACUAUCGUGUGCGAAGUCUUUCUAUUAACAUCUACUACGCUUAUUGAAUUCAAAAACAGUUCGUAGUCAUGUGACAUACGUGAUACUUUGUCUAAUCAAAUAUAAGUACGACUUAUAUUUGUUUCAUCCUAUGUAAGUCGAUAAUAAUGAACGUCUUUUUCGACGUACUUUCGUUAAUAUACCUCAAAGUUUACCCUUUCUUUAGUGUUGUCUAGUCAAAAAGGGAAAGGAAAAAUUCGUCGAAAGCAAAGACCAUGGUGUAACGUUUCAUCCACUUGAGACUGAUAUUGGUUUAUCAUGAAACGACAAAAACACAUAAGAUUUGGUAUGUGAACAGGUACGUAUACUUAAAGUAAUUAAAAUUUAUGGUUAUGACCAAAACUUUUCUGACCAAGUAUUAUACGAAUUAAUACAACACCAAAAAGACAUGGUUACUUACUAGGACCACUCACCAAUUUUAUAAACAACCGUGUACACCGACAUAAUCACUCUCCAGUUAUACGUCGGAAAAGGUGAUUAAUCGUACUAAAACUAUUCAAGUCUAAGACUCUUCCUUUUCUUUCGGAGUCCCGGUCUCAUAAGUCCUCCUGUGGUUAGGUUUGGGUACAGACUCCGUCGAACUUUCUUCCAAACGACGUCUCUUCUCUAUCUUUCUCGCUUUAUCUCUACCAUCCCCGCACUAGACAACAUCCAUACUUCACUUCAUUAGGAAGGAAGGGACGACAAACAAAAACGUUCAGACAAAACGUGUUGAGAUAAACGUCACGCACGUCAUUGACUCCCCGACGCAAAACUCCCAAAAUCCACAGCUUAUACUGGCCUGGUAAUUUUAUUUUCAACAUAUAGAAAAGUUCUGGAAAGGUUGGUUACAAAUAAACGUUAAAAAGAAGUCCACAAGAUCCUCUAUACGGAUAGACUUCAAUGACAAUCAAAGCAGUCUGACGUCAAAGUCAGUACUGAAGGAUAAAACGCCCGUCAAAUUUCAUUGAAGUUCCGACUUAGACAGGUACCCCGAUACCUACAUAAAAGUCAUAAACCAAACUUUAAAGGUACCUAUUAAAGAAGAGUUAAAAAGCGACUCAUAUCACUUUCUAUGUUGGAAGACUUACACUCUAGAAGGACUUUGAUAUAUCAAAGCCAACACUCAAAGUUUAACCAAACGGCAAAAUUGCCAUGAAUCUCCGGCUUACAUAACAAAACUUGCUUUGACAACGUAGAACGAAAUCUCCAAAAGACUAUGCCAGUGUCGACGGCGUUGACUGCUAAGUAAUUGAGGGAGUAGCACAUUGAAGGGACGACGUCCACUAACCUAGUCGCUUGGAAGAGACAUCAAAUUCUAAACUAGCCAACCUCCUUGCACCAUUCAGGGAUCGUUUUAAGAAAACGGAACAAUUAAGACGCAAAAAAUCGUCACGUCGACCAGGUACAGUAUAGUAGUUUCAGUAGCUAGAAACUGUCUUACAUUACGUACUCGUCAUAUCAUAAUAGAGAAUAAUACACUUGGGAGUCUAUGGAAAGGUACUCUGACUUUGGGUUGACAAAGGUUUAAAGAAUACACAAACACAUAUACUGCUAUGUAUUCACUCAAAGUGGUAAUAACCAGAUAAAAAACUACAAAAAAGGUUCCUAUAAUCUAACAACUCAAUUAACAGUCACCACGGUAGUGUGACUCAACGGUAAUUUGACAUUUUCAAUGCAAAAAAACAAAUGGUUACGUUAAUAAAAUUAAUAAUAUCUUGUAGACUAACUGCUACACCAGACACAAUGACCUCACUCG
rnacentral:rRNA from 1 species